rnacentral:lncRNA from 1 species
CUGUCUCUCCCCAGAUGGGCAGGUACUCAUCCUGCUGAAUGUCCAGCAUGAUCUCCAGCCCGUUGCCUGUCCCCCCCUUGACCGUGGUGAGCAGAGGUUUGCCAUCCUCGCCUGAGUUAAACAUGUAACACUUCCCAUAUUUUGUAAACACCUGAAGGAGAGAAGAGAGAGAGAGAGAGAAGCACAUGGGUAACUUCAGACGGGGGUCCAGAGAUUGGCGAGACCCCAGAAAUCUGACAGCAGGACCCAAGCGUUUUUUGACUGCAUCACUCUGGUUUCCUAGCUGGACUUCAGGAUUCCAGAUGACCUUCUCCAGCCCAUCCUCUAAGAUGAGGAACCAAAGUUCAAGGAGGUUCAACGUCUUACAGAUUUGGUGGUGCACUUGCUCUUCCCACUGCCCAGUGAAGCGCUACUCGAUCAUACUAGACACAAUGUGGUUGGUCUAUGGGAGGGAGUAUCAGGAAGCAUGAGGAGCCCACACUUCUACAAAGAGUCGAGAUGCCUUCACAAAGAUGCCUCAUGCUGCAAGGUCGUGAAUGCCAAGUGCUCUAGUGUUUCAGAGGUGGAGGAGAUCCCUACAGAUGAGGCACCAGGAAAAGCUUCAAGGUGGAGGCCGGUCUGAGUCUGGCCUCAAAGGAUGAAAUGAUUCAGAUAAACAGCAAAACAAAGCAACAGGAAGGGAGAGAUAACAACAAAGGCAGAGAUGUAGGAGUGAGCAAGGGAGACUGAAUGAGCAGUCCCUGGGACAGAAGGUGGUUUGUGAGGCUGGAAGAGGAGUUGAAACUUGUUUGUAAUUAUUGUGUGGUGUAUUUGCAUUUCUAAUUGCGCUGAGGGACACUGAAGGCCAAGCUUCCAGUCUCUGGGCUGUCUUUCACCUGCGCCGCGGUGCUGAGUUGUUGGCGGCGGCGGCAGCGUCUUUUCUCCAAGCAGCACCUGUGAGAGCAGCAGCUCCAGCUGGAGUCCCAAGACUUCCAAUCAACAUAGAGAGCCACAGGGCCUGUGCCUGCGUGGGUUUGCUGUAAGGAGCCUGUAACGCAUCGAGGAGCCCAGCGCCCAACCCCACACCUGGCAUUGGCUGGGUGCUCAAUAAAUGCUGGCUGACCACGGCUGUUCCUGAACGAAUCCUUAUCUCGCUUAUCUGAUUCAAGCGCCGGGUGGGCGCACUGUGGGCUGGCAGCAAGGGUUCCUGAUGCCAGGACUCUUGGAUUUGCUCCACAGGUGUCUGCGCAUCCAUCUGGAAACUGAGCAUCUGUGCAGGGAAUCCAUUUCCUCUUCUAACUUCUGAAUAGCUUUAGAUACUUCUGACUUCUGAACCCCUUUAGAUGUAUGCUGUCAUUUACCAGGAACAUCCUAACAUUGAUGAUUGAGGCUUCUUUGGCCAUUUCUGCCUCCACAAGCCUUACUUUUU